GAUGAACGCUGGCGGCGUGCUUAACACAUGCAAGUCGAACGGAGUGCCUUUGAAAGAGGAUUCGUCCAAUUGAUAAGGUUACUUAGUGGCGGACGGGUGAGUAACGCGUGAGGAACCUGCCUUGGAGUGGGGAAUAACACAGUGAAAAUUGUGCUAAUACCGCAUAAUGCAGUUGGGUCGCAUGACUCUGACUGCCAAAGAUUUAUCGCUCUGAGAUGGCCUCGCGUCUGAUUAGCUAGUUGGUGGGGUAACGGCCCACCAAGGCGACGAUCAGUAGCCGGACUGAGAGGUUGAACGGCCACAUUGGGACUGAGACACGGCCCAGACUCCUACGGGAGGCAGCAGUGGGGAAUAUUGCACAAUGGGGGAAACCCUGAUGCAGCAACGCCGCGUGAGUGAUGAAGGUUUUCGGAUCGUAAAGCUCUGUCUUUGGGGAAGAUAAUGACGGUACCCAAGGAGGAAGCCACGGCUAACUACGUGCCAACAGCCGCAGUAAUACGUAGGUGGCGAGCGUUAUCCGGAUUUACUGGGCGUAAAGGGAGCGUAGGCGGAUGAUUAAGUGGGAUGUGAAAUACCCGGGCUCAACUUGGGUGCUGCAUUCCAAACUGGUUAUCUAGAGUGCAGGAGAGGAGAGUGGAAUUCCUAGUGUAGCGGUGAAAUGCGUAGAGAUUAGGAAGAACACCAGUGGCGAAGGCGACUCUCUGGACUGUAACUGACGCUGAGGCUCGAAAGCGUGGGGAGNCAACAGG
rnacentral:rRNA from 1 species